GUGGUUUGACGGGACUCAUGUUGUAACAAGCCCCGUUGUAAUAAACACCGUGUUCUAAAUUCUAAUCAAUCACCUCUUCUUUUUUUCAUUUGCCUCCUGUCAUCAUGUGUAUAUUUCCAUAAGUGAAAAGGAGUUUGAUUGUAUACUUGUGAAAUAACUAAGGGCUAUAAUUAUCCUAGUGAAAUAAAUAUCAGCACAUACUUUUAUGUUUAGAAGACAAAAGGUAUAAAUAAAUACCUUUCUAUUAACUUUGAUCAAUAUUUUAACUAUUAACUGUAAAUAACUCUAAUUUGAAGGACCAAACUACAAUUUUAUAUAAUUUCUUCGAAACCUUUCACCGCCACUCAAAUCACCCACCGUCUCCGCCGCCUUCUCCCCGACGGCAUUCAGCCGAUACGAGAAUAUAAUGAUUUUGAGAACAUCAAUAAGUAUACAACAAGAAAAUUAAAAAAUAAUAAUAAUAAAAAUCAGAGUAAAAUCAAGGUUUUUUUGAAUGAAAUAAAAACAUAGACUACUUACUGUCACCAUGGAAACACUGAACUCCGACGGCAUCAGGACCGAUGAAACAUUGAAUUUCUGGAAGGAACACCACAAUGUAAAUUACUUCGCAUAUAUAGCCUGAUUUUAAUUAUAGUUCGUAUCAGUAAGAGAGAAUAUCACGGUUGGAAUUAGGGCAACGAAAGGGGGAUCGGGUCGAAAAAGAAAAGUUCGCAAGUAGCCUGUUGACCCGCGAAACCUCUGUAAAUUUAC
rnacentral:lncRNA from 1 species